AUGGCACGGCCUUCUUGUUUUAUUAAUAAAAUUGUUUCAACCUAAAUAUCUAAAUCAAGUGCUAGUUGAUUAUAGAUAUAAUAUCGUGUUUAAAUUUACAGUGAAUUUUUUAUUUUGAAUUUUUUUUGUGAUAAAUUAUAACAUAUAAAAUUUAAGUUUUGGAACAAAGAUUAAUUAAAGUUCAGAAGUUCGCCAUGGUUAAAGGACAAAAAUGCAUCUUUUUCACACCUCUGCGCACUUGUAAGAGUCGGGAGCUUAGAGGAGGUGUUUUAUAUAUAGACUGUUACUGCAUAAGACGAAAUGGCUUGCAAUAUGACUGCAGAAGGAGCGGCUGUCAAACUUCUCCGCUGUGCCAAGCAUUGCCUGCUCCUCUUUGUGAACCAGCUCGAGUGGCAUGCCAAAAACACUACGCCAAUCCCCACGCAGAAGCAUUAUCUGCUAUUUGCGACAUGGGGAGAUUUUAACAGACGAGAUUAAUAUAAUUCUAAAGUAAAAAAUACAAAAUAUACAUUUUACAACAAUACCUAUAUAGCUAAUUGGAAUUGUAUUAUAAAGAUUUUUUUGUACAUAUGUUAUUGUCAUAAAAACAAACUGGCUAUUUGAAUUAUUAAUUACUUCAAAUUUUAAAGAAGACAAAUAUGGAAUGUAACAAAAGAAAAAUGUGUUUGAUAGAAGAUUUUUUCACUUUGACUUGUUUAGAUGUAUUUUUUAUAACCUAAAAAAAUUGCAUAACUUUUAAAUUCUAAAUUAUCUGAGUGUUUCAUUACAAAUUUUCAAUAUCUAUGUAAAUUUUAAACUUUAAUAAAAUAUUUAAGUUAAACUCCCCCUCCUCCUUAUAUUCAUAUCUUCGGCUUGGAUCUGUACCUACCUAAAAUGUGCAGCCCUUGUGGCCCUAUGGUAUGCUACAAAUACGAGGACUGUGGUCCGCCACUGCAGUGCUUGCCACGGUCUGCGUUCAAACGUAAUGGAUUACAAGAUUGCCAGUACUUCCAGCAAGGAUCAAUUCGAUAUCUAUGCCGGGCGGGUCCUUGCUGUCCGAAGCCCUGUCCUCCGCCCUGUCCGCCUUGCGUGCGUCGUCCACCACCUGGCAAGACCUACGUUACGCGCUUCAGUGACUUCGACCUGAUAUCUCAAUGGUAGCUGUUGAUGCCCCAGUUUGUUAACCAUUUCAGCUCUCGAAAGGAAAAUCCCCUAAUGGAAGUUCGAGGCCGGAGGAGGGCGGUGCG
rnacentral:misc_RNA from 1 species